rnacentral:rRNA from 1 species
AAUUGGAGGGCAAGUCUGGUGCCAGCAGCCGCGGUAAUUCCAGCUCCAAUAGCGUAUAUUAAAGUUGUUGCAGUUAAAAAGCUCGUAGUUGAAUUUCGGGGUCAGUAGAUUGGUCGUGCCACUGGUAUGUACUGGUCUUACUGGCUCCUCCUUCCUGAUGAACCGUAAUGCCAUUAAUUUGGUGUUGCGGGGAGACUGGACUGUUACUUUGAAAAAAUUAGAGUGUUUAAAGCAGGCUAACGCUUGAAUACAUUAGCAUGGAAUAAUGAAAUAGGACGUUCGAUCUUAUUUUGUUGGUUUCUAGGAUUGGCGUAAUGAUUAAUAGGGAUAGUUGGGGGCAUUAGUAUUCAAUUGUCAGAGGUGAAAUUCUUGGAUUUAUUGAAGACUAACUACUGCGAAAGCAUUUGCCAAGGAUGUUUUCAUUAAUCAAGAACGAAAGUUAGGGGAUCGAAGACGAUCAGAUACCGUCGUAGUCUUAACCAUAAACUAUGCCGACUAGGGAUCGGAUGAUGUUAAUUUUUUAAUGACUCAUUCGGCGCCUUACGGGAAACCAAAGUGU